rnacentral:tRNA from 1 species
AAUUAUAUAGUUUAAAAUUAAAACAUUAUAUUUUCAUUAUAAAAAUAAUUAUUUUUAAUUUUUAAUUA